GCCUAUGUAAUUCAAGUGGAUAGAAUAAUGGUCUCCUAAUCCAUAAAUGGCGGUUCGAAUCCGUCCAUAGGCA
rnacentral:tRNA from 1 species